UACGGAGGAUCCAAGCGUUAUCCGGAAUCAUUGGGUUUAAAGGGUCCGUAGGCGGGCAGUUAAGUCAGUGGUGAAAGUCUUCCGCUCAACGGGAGAACUGCCAUUGAUACUGAUUGUCUUGAGUUAUUAUGAAGUGGUUAGAAUGAGUAGUGUAGCGGUGAAAUGCAUAGAUAUUACUCAGAAUACCGAUUGCGAAGGCAGAUCACUAAUAAUAUACUGACGCUGAUGGACGAAAGCGUAGGUAGCGAACAGG
rnacentral:ncRNA from 2 species